UACGUAGGGGGCGAGCGUUGUCCGGAUUUACUGGGCGUAAAGAGCUCGUAGGCGGUUUGUCGCGUCUGCUGUGAAAACUCGGGGCUUAACCCCGGGCCUGCAGUGGGUACGGGCAGACUAGAGUGCGGUAGGGGAGACUGGAAUUCCUGGUGUAGCGGUGAAAUGCGCAGAUAUCAGGAGGAACACCGGUGGCGAAGGCGGAUCUCUGGGCCGAUACUGACGCUGAGGAGCGAAAGCGUGGGGAGCGAACAGG
rnacentral:rRNA from 1 species